GUUUUCUAGGUUGUUAAUUUUUAAUUUCACUUUGCAGAAUAAAAUCAUCCAAGUAUAUACAUAUUCUGUCAUUUUAUUCAUUCCAAGAUGACCAGAAAAACAUUUAUCCUCAUAAAAGUCAAAUGUGAAAUUAAUUCCUUUGAAUUCAGCAUUUCUUGAACACCUACUCUGAACCAGGUGGUGUGCUUGACAAGGGCUAACUACAAAAAAAAGAGGAAAGGCCCACAGUCUAGGAAGUUCUUUUACACGCCCAAAAAUACUGUUAAGUUCCUACAUGUUACUGGAGGAAAUGGACUCAGAGAGUUGAAAGCUACUUAUUAAAAGCGGUUGGACCUUUUACCUAAAUAUCAUUUUUUACUAAUAUUAAUAUUUUUAAAAUUGAAACUAAAUGUUAUUAAAAAGGAUCUUCUCAGCCAGACAUGGUAGCACAUGCCUAUAGUCCCAGCUAUUUGAGAGGCUGAGGCAGAAUGAUCACUUGAGCCCAGGAGUUCAAGGCCAACCUGAGCAACAUAGCAAGACUCUUUUAAAAAAAUAAUAACAUAAAUAUAUCAUCUAAAUUACAUAAGGAAAAAGAUUGUAAGUAAAAAAUUGCUUAUAGUGAUUGUCUUUAUGUGAAAAAAUUUUGGAUCUUUUUCACCUCUCCAGGUUUCUUUGUAAUGAUUUAUAUUUAUUUAUAAUACCAGUAACCAAUUUAUUUUGAAAGUAAUGCUCCUGAUUUAAGUAAGAAUCAGUCCUUGAAAUUUUUCUAAAGUUGCCUUAUUUAAACUGGCACCUACUGGAUUUUUAAAAGGUAAAUUACAGUUUUAAUAUACUAUUUAAAGUUGGAUAUAAUUAAAAGUAUAAUUAGUAUUAUCUAACACAGAUUUCAAAAAAUGCAUCAUACAUGUGCUCCUUUUUUCAAAGUGAAUCUGACCACUUUACUGAUAUGGUUCUCUAGUCUUUAAGACACUUCAAAAUGGAGCCCCAAGUAUGUUGAAGUGGGAACUGGGGGGACUUUACUCUUUUGUAGUACUCUUAAAUUGCUAAAGAUUAAACUUGCUCAUGUGGAUACUAUGUGGAGUCAUAACGUAUCUUUACUUUGUGAUUUUAGUAUUUAUGGGACCUGAAGAAUUACUUGUUCUCUGGUGAGAUUUUUCAGAUAUGACACAGAAAAGCAGGGAGAAACUGGUUCUCUGUUCAUGGAAACUGAAGUUUGUAAGAGUUUAAGGCCAAACGUAAGAGGUCAUACUCCCUGUCACAAACUCCAGCUGAACUAACUUGGAGGAGGAUCUUCCCUGACAGCUCUGGAAGGAAAUUGACAGAACUUUCGUAAAGCCAAAGACUGGCAGAAAUAAAGUAAAUAAUGAUGAAACUGAGCAAUAGAGCACCCAGAAGGAGUGUCCCCUGCCAAAAAGAAUGUGGCAUUUCACCCUCCAAGAAACAAAUGGACACCUUAUCCCACAGAAUAAUGGGGCUCACAUGUCACCGUCACUCACUUCUUUAUCCUUUCGCCAAAGGAAGCCACUUCAUCUAGGAUGUUCUGGACACUGACACAUACCUCCUGGAUGGCAUAGAUUUUAUUUAUAAAUCCCUUUUUUUCACUGUCCUAAAAUGCAAUAAAAAAGAAAUUCUGUAUAAGUAAA